rnacentral:lncRNA from 1 species
CUUUCUCCCACAAAUCGUGAACAAGACCCCGAGAUACUUAAACUCCUCCACUUGGGGCAAGAACUCGUCCCUGACCUGGCGUGGUCACUUGACCCUUUUCCAGCUGAGGACAAUGGCUUCAGAUUUGGAAAUGCUGAUUCUCAUUCCCACCACUUCACACUCUGCUGCGAACCGCUCCAGGGCGAGCUGGAGGCCAUCACCCGAUGAAGCCAACAGAACCACAUCAUCUGUGAAAAGCAGAGAUGAGAUUCUGAGGCCACCCAAUUGAAAGUCGUAUGCCACUUAGCUAUGCCUAAAAUUCUGUCCAUAAAAUGAUGAACAGAAUCGGUGACAAAGGGCAGCCCUGGCGGACCCCAUCACCCACCAGGAACGAGUACGCCUCAUUGCCGGCUAUGCAGACUAAGCUCUUGCAACAGCUGUAUAAGGACUGAACGGCCCAUAGCAAUGGGCCAAACACACCAUACUCCCAGAGCACCCCCCACAGGACCCCAAGAGCUGAUCCAGUUUUCCAUUACCAGGACGAAAACCGCAUUGUUCCUCUUGUAUCCUAAGUUCGACUAACUGCUUUUUCCUUCAACAGGAAAUCCCACGGUUCAUGGCGAUCCAUCUGUUUCACCAGAAGGAAAUCCCACGGUUCAUGGCGAUCCAUCUAUUUCACCAGAAGGAAAUCCCACGGUUCAUGGCGAUCCAUCUGUUUCACCAGAAGGUAAGAGUCAACAUCAGCUAUGGAAGCUCUAUAUCCACAUCAUUAAACAUCAUCAUCACCACCGUCUCUAAUCCUGUGAGAUACAACCUGCCGGCAAGUGCGCUUAGAUCAGCUAAACAGGUGCUUUUGACUUUAACAGUACAUUUAUAAAUUACAUUUAAUAAAUCCACGUCCAAUAUAAUUAGCAUGCUUAUU